AAUUAAUUUAGGAAAAUAAUACAAGAAAAUUGAUAUGAAAAUCUAGGGUAUUACAAUCUACCCUCCUUAAAGGAAUUUCGCCCCGAAAUUCAAGUACACUAACCCAAAAACAACUUGGGGUAUUUAGCCCUCAUGUCCGACUCUAACUCCCAAGAUGCAUCUCCCUCAUCAUGGUAACUCCAACACACCUUAACCAAAUCGACUUCCUUCCUUCGAAGCCUCUUGGUUGACCUAUCCAAGAUUUGAACCGGUUCAACAACAAAGGUUGCAUCCGCAUUCACCUUGUUAGUUCCAUAGUCAAUCACAUGUGACGCAUCCAGAAUAUACUUCCUCAACAAGAACACAUGAAACACAUUGUGUACCUCGGACAUGAUAGGAGGUACGGCAAGCCGAUAAGCCAAACCCCUACCUUCUCCAAAAUCUCAAAAGGCCCUACAUACCUUGGAGCAAACUUCCCCUUCUUGCCAAAUCUCACUACCCCUUUUGUAGGUGAGACUUUCAAGAACACAUGAUCUCCAACAUCAAACUCUACUUGCCUCCUCUUCAAGUCGGCAUAGCUCUUUUGCCUGCUUCGCACCGUUCGGAUCCUAUCUUGGAUAAUAGAGACAUCAGUCAUCUCUUGGACAAUAUCAGGACCCAACAACUCGCUAUCACCCACCUCCGCCCAACAAACAAGAGAUCUACACAGCCUACCAUAGAGUGCCUCAUAUGAUGCCAUGCUGAUACUAGAGUGAUAACUAUUGUUGUAGCCAAACUCAAUCAAUUGGAGGUGAUCCUCCCAACUUCCCUUGAAGUCCAUGACACAAGCCCACACCAUAUAUAUCUUCUAACACUUGAUUCACCCGCUCAGUCUACCUAUCAGUUUGAGGGUGGAAUACUGUACUCAUGUCUAAAGUAGUCCUCAUGGCUUUCUGAAAUCCACCCCAAAACUUUGAAGUGAAUCAGGGGUCUCGAUCAGAAACAAUCGAAGUAGGCACUCCAUGAAGUCUCACUAUCUCCUUCACAUACAACUUACACAAGGCAUCUACCGUGUAUGUCAUCGAUACAGGAAGGAAAUGUGCUGACUUCGUCAACCGGUCAACAAUCACCCAUAUAGCAUCAUGUCCAAGCUUGGACUUAGGUAGUCCAGUCACAAAGUCCAUAGAAAUCUACUCCCACUUCCAAGUAGGAAUAGGUAAUGGCUUCAACAUUCUCCAGGUCUCUGAUGCUCCGCCUUCACCUACUGACAAGUGAGACACUUGGACACAUAAUCUGCUACAUCUUUCUUCAUCCCAUUCCACCAAAACUGCCUACGUAAAUCUUUAUACAUCUUGGUGCUCUAUGGGUGCACCGUAUAACCAAAUCGAUGUGCCUCCCAAGGGAUCUUCCCUUUGACAUCAAUAUUCUCUGGAACACACAAUCUCAAUCUAUACCUCAAUCCACCAUCUAAUCCAAUCGACCACUUAGAAGGACAAUCAUCCAUCAAGUCCACCACUAACUCUGCCAACUUUGCACGUGAGAACUCAUCAUGUGUUUGUCCCUGAAUGAUCCUGGAAAUCAAAGUAGGUUGCACAGAGGUGCUUCUAAGGAAGAUCCCCUGCUCCCCGUCUGAUGACAGAAUGUCAAACUAAGAUGUAGUCUCCAACAUGAGCCACUCCUGUACCAUGAUAGAGGCGACUAUACCCCUAGGCUUUCUGCUCAAUGCUCCGUCACUACAUUGGCUUUCCCGGGGUGAUAGUCCAAUGUGAAGUCAUAGUCCUUAAGGAGCUCCAUCCACCUCCUCUGCCUCAUGUUCAAAUCCUUCUGAGAGAAUAGAUACUUCAAACUCUUAUGAUUAGAAAAAAGUUAGAACUUCUCUCCAUACAAGUAAUGCCUCCAAAUCUUCAAAUUAGCAAAUACCACCGCAGCUAGCUCUAGGUCAUGAGUGGGGUAAUUCUUCUCAUGAAUAUUUAACUGCCUAGAGCCAUAUGCCACAACGCUGCCAAGCUGCAUCAACACACAACCCAAACCCUGAUGAGAUGCAUCGCUAUAGACGACAUAGUCAACACCACUAAUGGGAAUGACCAACACUGGGACGGUAGUCAACCUAGUCUUCAACUUCUCAAAUGCCUUCUCACACUCCUCGGUCCACACAAACUUGGCAUUCUUCUUUGUCAACUUGGUCAAGGAAGAAGCAAUACUAGAAAAUCCCUCAAUAAAUCUCCGGUAGUAUCCUGCCAACCCAAGGAAACUACGAAUCUCCGUAGGAGUAAUGGGAUGACUCCAAUUCAACACUGCCUCCACCUUAGAGGGAUCCACCAAAAUCCCCUCCUUUGAUACCACAUGACCAAGGAACUUGACUUCUUCCUUCCAAAACUCACACUUCCCGAACUUAGCAUACAACUUGGCCUCCUUAAGAACCUGUAGUACGAUCCGUAGAUGCCUACCAUGAUCCUCCAAGGUCUUGGAGUAAAUCAAAAUAUCAUCCACAAAUACUACCACAAACACAUCUAGAUAAGGACUGAAGAUGCGGUUCAUCAAAUCCAUAAAAGCAAUAGGCGCAUUGGGUAGACCAAAUGGCAUAACAACAAACUCAUAAUGCCCAUAUCUAGUCCUGAAAGCGGUUUUCUGAAUAUCCUCCUCCUUCACCCUCAACUGGUAAUAACCAGACCUCAGGUCAAUCUUAGAGAACACCGUAGCACCUCUAAGCUGAUCAAACAAAUCAUCAAUCCUAGGCAAAUGAUACCUAUUCUUGAUGGUCACCUUGUUCAACUCCCGAUAGUCCACACACAACCGAAGUGUAUCAUCCUUCUUCCUCACAAACAACACUGGUGCACCCCAAGGCGAGGUGCUAGUUCUAAUGAAUCCCUGCUCGAGAAGACCCUCAAUCUGAACCUUCAUCUCCUGAAGUUCAGUUCUCCCCAUCUAAUAAGGAGUAUUUGAUACAGGUGAAGUACCUGGUACCACAUCUAUAGCAAACUCCACUACCCUCUUAGGAGGUAACCCUAGAAUCUCCUGGAACACAUCACUAAACUCAAAGACUACUGCAAUGUCCACAAUACCCACGGUACCACUUGUAGCCUCGAUUUAGCACUCCUUCCCACAUGGCUGUGUCUGACCAAUGACAACGAUAGCAAAAGCUCGACUGUUUAGGAAUGUGGAAUGACACCACCAUGUAAAAACAAUCAAUCAAAGCAUGGUUUGGCCUUAGCCAAUCCACUCCCAAAAUCACAUCAUAGGAGCGGUCUGGAAUCACAAUUAGAGAUGCAAAGAACUCCUUACCACUAAUCAUUAUAGGACAUGCAUCACACAACAUGCCAAGCUCAAUAGAAACACCGAGAGGCGAAGAAACACAUAAAAAUCUAGUAAGCUGUGGCAAAGUCACACCUAAAGCCCUCACCACCGAGCUAGAUAUGAAGAAAUGGGUUGCCCCCGUAUCAAACAAAACUGUAGCAAGCAGAUUAAAAACAAGAAAUGGUACCUUCCACUCUUGUACCCCGCUGUUCAAUGGCAUACACCCUGGCCUGUGCUGGAGGUAACUAUCUCUGCUGAUUACCUUGUCCUCCAGCCUGAGGUCGUGUGCAAUCCCUGGCAAAGUGACUUGCCUGCCCACAAGUGAAGCAUCCUUGCCUCCUGGGCUUCGUGCAUGCCGAAGAGAAGUGGCUUGACUCACCACAAGUGAAACACCUCAAGGGUGUUGCCUGCCUAAUAGGUGGAGCCCUAAUAGGUGCAGUUGCUGGUCUAGUUGGAGCCAGCUGAUGAGUCAUCUGCCUCUUCCCGUAACCACCUCUAUGGUCUCAUGAACUGCUGCUCCCUACUAGGGCCUUGCCCUUCCCCUGAACAUCUCUCUGCCUCUUGAUGUGCUCGUAUUUUCCUAUAUUUUUACGCCCUUUAACCUUGAUAUUUGUGUAUAGUUCUCCUUGUUUUUAGUCCAUUUACUUGGUUUAGUGUGUUCGUAGGUUUGAAUAGCAAAGAUGAGGAAAAGAAGCAGAAAAUGAGCACAUAAGGAUUGAAGGUCAUUUGCAGUCCUAACAACUGAACCAGUCUUGAUAGAACAUCCAACUUUGAGGAUUUAACUGUACUGAUCCAGGAAGAACCAGAGAGUGAGCCUUAUAUGCACGAAAAACCCUAAAUGUCCACUUUCUACAGAAUUUUACGGUUCGUGAUUUCGAUAUUCCUAGAGGGAGAUAUGGCCGUUUAAGUACAGGCUGUUCGGUACGCGCGAAUCUACAACAUGUUUCCAAGAGCUCGAGUUUUCAAGACCUGAAUGACCUAGCAAAAUUCCGGGAAAAUUAAUAUAGCAUUAUGGGCCUCUUGAGAGUCCAACACAUGUUUUCCUUGGACUUUUUGGGCUAUUUCAUUAAAGAGUUGCCAAAGUCUGAAGCAACAAGGAAAAAGACAUCAUAUAAAAGGAGGUUUAUCAAACACAAAAGGGGGGAUCAAUCCAUAUCAGAAUUUCAUCCAAGAAGCUGCUGCCAUCCACCGUCUUCUACUUCCAUCUACAUUCAAUUAGUUUCUUUAUGUUUUUAAGAGCUCAUAAUAUGUUUGCUUUGAACAUGAGUAGCUAAACUCUUUCUCUAGGGCUAGGAUGAAGCCCUAGCAUGAUUGUCUAUGUCAGGACCCACCCUAAAUUUCACCUUGAAACCUGAAGUAAAUCCUGUUGGGACCACAUUCAAGAAAAAUUUACCAAAAAAUCGGCAUAACCUCGCUUGAAAAUGGACGACCCUUCCUACUAAUACCUGCAUACACUUCAAAGAAUCCAUCUAUAACCCUCUACUCCUGGAGCCUACAUGCUCCCCAAAUCACAAUAUCUCCCAAUUUAUUUACUAACUUUAAUAAGACAAUCUCACAACCAACAAUCACACAGGUUCAGAGCAACUCUAUCAGAGAAGAAAGGAAUUAGAAAUAUAUAGAUGAGCGGAAGCUAAAAUAUUGACUAUGUCUCGUUUGCAUGUACGCUCGACCUCAACUAUAUAAUCCUGCAAACUGGACAUUUUUAAAACGAAGGGCCCAGGGGAAAACAUUCGAAAUUGUUAGAGUGAGUGGACAAAAAUAAAAUGAAUAAGUAAAAAUAAUUAACAAUAUUCAUGCUUUUCCAAUUUAAUUUCCAAAGAAAUCGAAUGCAGCCUCAAGCGAUAAAACUCUUAUCUCUUAAAUAUCAAGUCUCUCAAACUCAAUAAUGUAAAUCAAUAUAUAUGUAUGUAUCUACACACGUCCCAUACUCCUUGUAUGAAUUCUAUUAAGGAAAUAUAAGAAAAAUAGAAAUUCAUACAAGGCUACUACGCUUGCGUCUAACGCUCACGUCACGUUUUAAUGCGAUGCUACACUACACCGUUAAGGUGGACGGAUGGGUGUACUACCCCCUAUAUAAAUUAAACAUUCAUAUGGGGCUACUACGCUCGCGUCUAACGCUUACGUCACACCAUUAUACGGUUAUAUACUACGCUAUUAAGGUAGAUAAACACAUAUGGCUAGCUAGCAUUAUAUACAUACUCUCCUCAUAAAUAUACAUAUAUGUUCACUGAAAAAUCCCAUUUUUGGUAAUUCUCCAAAAGAAAUAAAAUCAUCAAAUUAAAAUGACGUCAAAUACUCCAAUAAAAGAAAUUGUUCAACAAUAAUCCAGUGCAUGCAUAUUAUUUAAAACAAAAGUUCACUCACAGAUUUAAGCUUAAACUUCCCAAUAUAAUGCCCGGAAUACUCCUCGAGCGUUGCCCCAAAAUAAAACCUUAACCUGGAAUCGAAGUCAUAAUCAAUUUCCAUCCCUUUAACACAUCAACCAAUUUACUUCCAAGAUUUACUAAGGGCACCCAAAAGGGUUUCCAUAAAUAGAAAGCUUCCAAAAAGGGAAAAUUUCUUAAAAUAGAAACUUUCCUAACUUAACAAGUUUUCCAAUAAUAAUAACCCGAACUUUCCUUUUUAGGCACUACGACUCAAAAUAGAAAGGUUGCUCAAAAACUACUUUCUCGACGCUCUGUCGGAUCUACUGCUUCGCCGGAACCCUCGCCGGAUCCCGAUGACUUGUUGGAAAACUUCACCGGAUCCGGCGACUUGCCGGAAAACUUUACCGGAUUCCAGCCACUUCCCGGAAAAUUGGCCAUAGUCUCCCUGCAUCUUCCAAUCUCCAAGUUAUCGACAAUCAUGUAGAAAAUAAACGAUUCAAACACCAACCAACCGAAACCACACAACAACAACAACAACAACAACACCGAAGUUCAAGACUUAACACUGACCUUGCUAUAAUCCUCGUCGAAACCAUGUUCACUGACAACCCAAAACCACAGUCAUGAUCGGAGGACAAUCAACCAAACACCCAAAACCACUGCCUCCUUCCGAAACAGUAACAACUUCCUCCAAACUUCUUCCAAAGCGCGUUGGGGCUCCCACCAACCACAGCUAGGCUCGCCUGAGCUCGACGGACACACUGAAACUCAAGAACAAAAGCCCUUGUCGGAGACCGAACCUCAAACCCAGAAAACAGAGAAAGCGGGAAAUCUGAUUAGGGCUCUAUAUUUGGAAAUCGAAGCUCAAGGAAGACCGAAAAACUAGAGGGAAGUGAUGAGUAUACCUUCACGAAGCACAAGCUCAUCGGAAAAGAAAUGAUUCGGCCGGAAUUUGGGUUUUGGGGAUUUAGGGUUCUUGUUUCGAUCAGACGGGAUAGAUGAUGCCUGGCAAGUUGAUGGGUAGCAGUAGAGAGAGGAGAGAGAGACAAGUCGAUUGGGGGUGGUUGCUCAACCAGCGACGGCCGGACGAGUGUAGACGACGGAGAAGAGAGAGAGAGAAGAGAGAAUAGGGUUUGGGCUUUUUCCCAAACCGGUUUCCCCGACCCCAACCAUUUAAAACCCAACUUCAAAUAAAAUACACCCCAAAAAAAUAACCCAAAAAUAUACCCUACUAAAAAUUACCUUUUUACUAAAAUUUACCCUUUUUACCGUCUUUAAUUAUUUCUCCUACGAAAUACUCGUCCCUCCAAAACACCUCUAGGGACCUUUGAAACUAUAUACUCAUUAACGAAGACGGUAAAACUCUUAUUAACACCUAGCAAGUGAUUAGGGUAAAAAUUAAGAGUCGGGGAUGUGACAAUUCUCCCCCUCUUAUUAAAAUUUCGUCCUCGAGUAUACUACAUCCACCCUGUAUACUUGCAGGAAUCCAUUCACUAUACUACAUCCACCCUGUAUACUUGCAGGAAUCCAUCAAGUUUUUGGCGCCGUUACCGGGGAUUACCCUGUCCUCCAGCCUGAGGUCGUGUGCAAUCCCUGGCAA
rnacentral:lncRNA from 1 species